rnacentral:rRNA from 1 species
UACGUAGGGGGCAAGCGUUGUCCGGAAUCAUUGGGCGUAAAGAGCGUGUAGGCGGUCCAGUAAUCCGCUGUGAAAGUCAAGGGCUCAACCCUUGAAAGCCGGUGGAUACUGCUGGACUAGAGUCCGGAAGAGGCGAGUGGAAUUCCUGGUGUAGCGGUGAAAUGCGCAGAUAUCGGGAGGAACACCAGUAGCGAAGGCGGCACUCUGGGCCGGAACUGACGCUGAGGAGCGAAAGCGUGGGUAGCAAACAGG